rnacentral:rRNA from 1 species
GUUCAAGAUACUAAGGGCACAUGGUGAAUGCCUUGGUGCUGGAAGUCGAUGAAGGACGUGGUCAGCUGCGAUAAGCUUCGGGUAGGUGCGACAACCUUUGAUCCGGAGAUUUCCGAAUGGGGAAACCCGGCUGGAGUCAUAUCCAGUCAUCUCAUACCCAAGUUGCUUGCAUAUUAAGUAUGAGAGGAGAAGUCGGCGAACUGAAACAUCUAAGUAGCCGGACAAGAGAAAGAAAAUUCGAUUCCCUGAGUAGUGGCGAGCGAAACGGGAACAGCCCAAACCGUCGGUCCUCGGAUCGGCGGGGUUGUAGGAUCUGGUAUAAAGACCUAGUAGGGAUAAUAGAAUCAUCUGGAAAGAUGAGCCAUAGAAGGUGACAGCCCUGUAUGUGAAAUCCUGAAAGGUCCGACCGGACACCUGAGUAGCACGGGACACGU